rnacentral:rRNA from 1 species
AACGAACGCUGGCGGCAGGCUUAACACAUGCAAGUCGAGCGCCCCGCAAGGGGAGCGGCAGACGGGUGAGUAACGCGUGGGAAUCUACCCAUCUCUACGGAAUAACGCAUGGAAACGUGUGCUAAUACCGUAUAUGUCCUUCGGGAGAAAGAUUUAUCGGAGAUGGAUGAGCCCGCGCUGGAUUAGCUAGUUGGUGGGGUAAAGGCCUACCAAGGAGACGAUCCAUAGCUGGUCUGAGAGGAUGAUCAGCCAAACUGGGACUGAGACACGGCCCAGACUCCUACGGGAGGCAGCAGUGGGGAAUAUUGGACAAUGGGCGCAAGCCUGAUCCAGCCAUGCCGCGUGAGUGAUGAAGGCCCUAGGGUUGUAAAGCUCUUUCACCGGUGAAGAUAAUGACGGUAACCGGAGAAGAAGCCCCGGCUAACUUCGUGCCAGCCGCCGCGGUAAAAC